UUUAUUAUAAUUUAUUCGAUCAAACGAAAAUUUUUUAAUUUUUUUUGUUUAAUUAAAAUUUAAUAAUUAAA
rnacentral:tRNA from 1 species